AUUAAUCAAAUAUUUAAUUGGCAUUAUUUCACUCAACACUCGGUAGCUAUUAUAAACUCUUUUUUUCAGCGGACCCGAACAAUUUUUUAAAGGGGAAAUCGAGUACCCAAUCACGCGCGAUCGGUUCGGGAGUGCUAUUAUCGCGCGAUUGUAACUGUAUUUUCGCGAGUGAGCGAGUGAGUGCAACGAAUUCUGAGAGGAAGAGGAAGAAGAAAAGGCCUGCGAUGCAAUUUUGGAGUGAGUAAUAUUUGCAACAUACACAAGAUGUAUAUAACGCCUUUCUUACCAAUCUCAAUGAUAUGUUACAGAUAUUCCUCGGUGUGAAAAUCGACGAGGAAGCCAACGUCCAUCGUCGUCGAAAUUUGUUAUUAUGAAAUUAACGAACCGCAGCUGGUUCAUCGCGUCGCGCGUUUGUUCUGGAAGUGCCGUUGAAAGUAAUGGACUUAAUUAGUCCACGGGCGCAAUUUUAUUGUAUUUAACGUGAGUGUUCCGCGAGUGCAACAAGAGGAAAAGACUCGACCUGGAGCUGAGAGGAGGAGAAAGCUUGGGGAGGCAUCGGGCGUCGGUGCACCAAUCUUAUGAUUAAAUUGCAGGAGGGGAAGUAGAGAAGUGAGAGAAGUAUCGGGCUUCAGCAGAGCAACUUUUGGAUUAUUCGGCCUUGUUUAAGUUAUUUUGAGAUUGCGCUUUCAAACAAAGAGAGAGAGAGAGGGAGUGGGUGGAAGGGAGAAAGUGGAGUCUCCGCCCGCAGCGAUCUCAUUGAGAUGCGGCUAGGAUUCAAAGUUUGCGUAAACGUUUAAAAUAGCGUAGCGAGAAGUUUGCACUUGGGCUUAUACCCAAGCACGAAUUACCUUUCGCUAAGAGCUAAUUAAGAGAUGGUUCCAUUCGGCGGCUCGUCGGGGAGCAACUCUAGCGGAAACAAAAUUCACCGACCUAGCAACGUGUCCUGACCCCAGGAUUCGAGACGCGAGGAUGGCGAACCCUCCGUCGUUCCGCGAUAUCUAUAUAUACGCCAGGACCAACCUCGAGUAAUCGUUACGACGUACCGUAGACAGAUAAGAGCAUCGGCUGCUUCCGCCUCAAUUCCCUUUUCCUUCUCCUCACCAUCGUGUCCCUUCGUUUCCCUUAUCCGUAACUCCAAAAAGCAUACAGUUCUACCGGAUUCUCUCUCUCCCUGGAGUCGACUCGGAUCUCUAGAGUAGAUUCCUAAAGCGGCGGACGAUCCUCGAUGAACCGUGACCGCUCAAGAUUCGGUGAAUCUUCGUAUUGGAUAGCGGAGCAGUGGCGAAUUCGAUUCACCGAAUGUGUACGUGAUGUUUAUCCGACUUGACUUUUGGACAGACACACCUUCGUGAAACUACGCUAUCUGAAUGUUUUUUUUUUUUUCUGAAAAUUUCUUUUCCUUCCCCGCGGGCGUGUGAUUUAUUUCGAUAACUUCGGAUAACACUUGUUCAAUUAGGGAAGGGAGAGGGAGGAUGUCGUUGCUUUUAAAUAAGCUUUUUGAAAGAAUUUUUAAUUGAAUCUAAAUUAAUGAUGUUCGAUAUUAUAAAAAUAUCGCAAGAGUAUAUGGUAAUUUAGAAAAGAUCACUUGACUGAAAUAUUAACGCGUCAAUUUUUGCUACAAGUUAUCCUGGAUGUAGCAGAUGAUACACUUGAAAAAUUCCUGGCAAGUUUGUUUUCGUGAAACAUUUUAAUGCAAUAAUACACGCAACAGCCGAUACUUAUACCGAAAUGUCAUUAGUGAAACCAUCAAACAGCUAUUUCUCGUUUGUUUUACUUUCGCGCGAAUGGAAAGAUAAGUUGUAGCUUGAACGCUUCGUGGCGCACGAAAGAAACGAAACGGUAUGGAAAAGUAGUCGGAAAUCGUAAAGUGCUCGACACCUCGAUCCUCCUGGACAAAUAAGACAGCGCGCAAGAGGAUGAGGCGACGACGAUGACGACGACGACGACGACGACAACGACGGGAGGGGAGCGGCGCGUCGUUGGACGUGAGACAUGUCGGAGUCGACGAGAACUCCGAGAUUCGGUCGUCUUCCAUUCAGCCUGGGGGAACAAGAGAGAAGAGGACAAGGGGA